GACUGUUUACCAAAAACAUAGCCCCAGUAAAAAUCUGAGGUGUGACCUGCCCAAUGAUUUUUAAUUAAAAACAAAUAAUAAUUUGUUAAAAAAAAUUUAAAGGACGCGGUAACCUUGACCGUGAUAAUGUAGCAUAAUCACUCGCCAUUUAAUUGAUGGAUAGUAUGAAUGGUUAAACGAAUAUUUCACUGUCUUAAAAAGAACUUCACAAAAAUUAGAAUAAUAGUAAAGAUACUAUUUAAAAUUGUAAGACGAAAAGACCCUAUAGAGCUUAACUAUAUUUUACCUUAAUAGGUAGAGUGGUAGUUUAGUUGGGGCGACUAUCUUCUAAAAUGAACGAAGAAAAUUAAUUUAAUAAAAAUUUUACUGUAUAACAAAUAAGUUUAACAGUUACAAAAGUAGAAUAUAUAGACCCGUUAGAAUUUAAUAAAAAACCUAACGAUUAAUAAAUAAAAGCUACCUUAGGGAUAACAGGAUAAUUUUAUUUAAGAGAUCGUAUCAAAGAUAAAGUUUGUCACCUCUAUGUUGAAUUAAGAUAUCCUGAUAAUGCAGAAGUUAUCAAAGGUAGGUCUGUUCGACCUUUAAAAUCUUACAUGAUUUGAGUUCAUUC
rnacentral:rRNA from 1 species